UCUAACUGAUACUGUUUUGUGUCAGUUGGACUCAAAACAGAGAGAGGAUUUAGGUUUUCAGAGAGGAUUCAUUACCACAGUGAUAUAACACUGAGGAGAGCAAAGAUGUAGAGAACUACAGAGAUGGCGGAGCAGAAUAGAACUGAAGUGACGCCACUUUGACAGAAAACUUAACACGGACAAGAUGGCAGAAGAGCAAAGGAAUCAUUCCCUUGGUUUAACACACCUGAUACAAAUGACGGCCCAUUCUGUGACGACGUCUGGCACGCUGAGGAGACAAGUGGACCAUUUGAAUCAGCUGUGUUGGAGCAGAGACUCAUCUAAAACUGGCAGGACAUCGGCCCUCGAGAAUGGAGUGUGACACACAUGCCCAAGACUAAAAACAGAUCCCUGAUCUGAUGCAGAUACAGUCCAGCAUUUGAAUUCUCCACUUUUUCUUCCACACUGCUCACAAAUGACUAAGACUAAUUUCAGCCAAGCUGAUAUUUGAACAAUGGCGUAAUUUAAGGGACAGAAUGUGUCUAUAAUGUUACCGAAACAUCAGCAGAUCUGCUGAUUACUGUGCUGAAAGCUCACGGUGACCUGGAUACAUGUUUUUUCUUUUUAAGUAAAUGCGUAACUGAUUUUGCUCCUGUGGACAGAUCAUAAUGCCAGAAAUGAUUAGUUGGGUUUAUUGGGCAUCUUUGUCUUAUUUUGAUAUUCUGCCAUCUUUGCAUCUGUAUUAAUGAUACUUCUAAAUAAAACUUUUUCUCACUCA